rnacentral:rRNA from 1 species
GCGCACCAGGCGAGAAAACUUUACAAUGCGGGAAACCGCGAUAAGGGGACACCGAGUGCCAGCAUAUUAUGUUGGCUGUCCACAUGUGUAAACGGCAUGUGUUAGCAAGGGCCGGGCAAGACCGGUGCCAGCCGCCGCGGUAACACCGGCGGCCCGAGUGGUAAUCACUUUUAUUGGGUCUAAAGGGUCCGUAGCCGGUUUGAUCAGUUCUUCGGGAAAUCUGACAGCUCAACUGUUAGGCUUCCGGGGAAUACUGUCAGACUUGGGACCGGGAGAGGUAAGAGGUACUACAGGGGUAGGAGUGAAAUCUUGUAAUCCCUGUGGGACCACCAGUGGCGAAGGCGCCUUACCAGAACGGGUCCGACGGUGAGGGACGAAAGCUGGGGGCACGAACCGGAUUAGAUACCCCGGUAGU